rfam:Photobacterium sp. 13-12 scaffold14, whole genome shotgun sequence.
AAAUUGAAGAGUUUGAUCAUGGCUCAGAUUGAACGCUGGCGGCAGGCCUAACACAUGCAAGUCGAGCGGCAGCGACAUAAACAAUCCUUCGGGUGCGUUUGUGGGCGGCGAGCGGCGGACGGGUGAGUAAUGCCUGGGAAACUGCCCUAGUGUGGGGGAUAACCAUUGGAAACGAUGGCUAA